rnacentral:piRNA from 1 species
AGGAAGAGGGUAGAGUUUUGGAAA